GCAGGUGUGGUGGAAUGGCAGACACGCUAGAUUCAGGUUCUAGUGAAGGCAACUUCAUGCAGGUUCAAGUCCUGUCACCUGCACCA
rnacentral:tRNA from 2 species